UAAAAACUCCAGCUUAAAAUUGAGCUUUGUUUAGACAUUGCCAUCGGUGUUCUUCUAGAAUUUUUCACUCACUCAAAGAUGGAUUAUUCACCCAGUAAUGAAAGAUGGGCAUGAAGGGAGGUCGGGAUGUUGGUGUGGGAACCACCAGGAGAUGUGAUGCUUGUGUCCCUCAGCCUCAGUGCUCACAAAACGGCUGCUCUCAAAUGUUAUGCUUUUUCUACACUAGAGGCAGAAGUUUUCCUGCUUACAGAGUGUAUUCAAAAAAAAGGGAAUGGAAUUGGAAUGCUAAGCAAUGCAUUAUUGGUGACACGGUGAGCAAAUAGGUUAUCAAUUUCUAAUGCACUCUCAGCAGCGCUGUACAAAAGCUGUGCAAAUUUGCUUUCUGUGUCGGCCAAAGGCAUCGUUGUACCAUGUGGGUGCAAUGAUUGGAGAGAACAGUUUGUAGUAGUUCACUAAACGAAGUUUAAGCCACUAUAUCUAAAUUAGGCGUUUGCCUUUGACAUCUUAUUAUUUCAUAAUUGUAACUACGAGGCUUUUCAGAGUGGGUAAUUGCUUUUUUUCCCCAAAGCUGCAUUAGUCUUCAAGGGCAAGUGAUGGUGAAAUAGAAGCCUGAGUGCCUGAAGUUGUAAAAUAAAGAGAAUCAAGCAUGAGCUAAGAGUAUAAUUCACAUAGAAACUCCCCUUCAGCUGCCGGGUCCCUCAUCUCAGAGCUGGUGGAAAAUGCUGCAGAGGAAUGGGUAGAACCCUGAAGAAAACUCAGGACAGUUUCAUGGUGUUGGGGAUCUGGGGGCAUUCAGCAUCAGCUGUGCAUCCAGGAGAUUGCUGACUUCUUCCCAAGGAGCUGAAAUCUCAUUCUUCUCUGUUUUAACGAAGCUUGCUGAUGCCCUUUUCUCUCAUUUGGUAAUCGGCUGAACUUCCUGGGAAAGGAACAGGAAAUGAGUGGAAGGAUCAGAGGCAGCAGAAAGGUGUGAGCUGGGCGACUUGCUGCUGAAAUAGGUGAAGGAGAAGGGUGAACCAGCCCUUCUGCAUUUCCCCUGCAGAAAGCAUUAAAGUGCAUACCUAAAAGAGGUUUCUAAAAGUUCAAGAGGUGAGGAGAAGCACUGGAAUGGAAAUCUCAUAGUGAUGGACCCUCACUGUGACAUUUUGAUGCUCUCUGGAGAGAAAUAUGGGCAUUUUGCUUCUCCCACCUUUGAGCUGAAGUAGUACACCAGCUGAAGUCCUUCACUCUUCUGUAUUUGAAAGGGUUUCAUUUUUGAUAAAGGUUCAGUGUUACAAAGAGAUACCAAAUCUUCAUGUGCCCUGUGCUUCAGCAAAGUACCGAUAACAGCAAUAAACCCCCUAACGUGAGAUGUUCUGGGGUUAUCUCUGAGGAAGGCUCCUCUUCAUUCGGCUGCCAAUUGCAAAUGAACCUAGUUAUAAAAUUUCUCUUUAUUGCCACCUUUCCAUAUCCCUGAGGUUAAUUCUGAAAUAUGCAUGAAAUGUAAUUAGUGCAGAUCCAUUUCUGCCAGCACGUUUUACACAAGUGGCUCCCGGUGGCAGAUCUGGAUGUAUUCAUAAUAAAAUGAUUCAGUUAAAUGUAAUACCACUUGGUAUGCAGCAUGAGUGUUGUUUGUCUUCACAGCACUUUAAUGAUGCACUGCAGUCUUUGGUAUCGAG
ensembl:lncRNA